GGGGGACCUAAUUCUUGCAUUCUGUGAAAACGUUUGUACGAUAACUUCAUAAGUAUAGAAAAGAUCUCAUCUGCAAACCUUCCAUUGACAUUUAAAUUUAAGAUAAACGACUACAUGAAGAGAUUUGGGAAAAUUCCACUCGGAAUAUCCAUACGUGGAUUCUUCUAUGUAAAACGAGAUUUCUUGAUAAGGGUAAUAAGUGCAAUCUAUUCGGCGUUGUCUUCUUGCAUUGAAGUCGGCGGAGUGUUACAUAAAGACAGAACAUGCACGGAAAAGCACACAAAUAAUACAUAUCACACUUAAGGACCCAUCAGUGGCAAAGCAAUUGCGUUCUCUUCAGGGAACGGAACCGCUUUGCGAGUCCGGUCGUGGAUUCGUCCUCACCCGGACGAACUGGCCGCGUGGAGUUUUCCGGGUUUUCUCCACGUUUGUAAUUCCUGAAUAGGGGCCAGUUACGCUUAGAAGACCUCCCGGAAGGCAUUGUUUCUCGCAUAACGACAAUCAUAUACGUAUACAACUGCUAUUACACGACAAUUACAUCACAUUUUACUACGGGGCGAUAUAGCGUAAACGCUCAUGCACAACUACUCGUAGCUGAUACAAGACAACACAAGAUCACAAUUAAGUAUUAAUUUAUAAAUUAUUUAUCAAAUGGUGUAAAACGUAGUUUAACAGCUUUCACAAUGUUUUUGAUGUUCUGCACUAAAUAAAUGUAGAAAUUAAUGCAACGAUUGUAGAAAUAAUUUUGCUUCAAUAAA